UACGUAGGGUGCAAGCGUUGUCCGGAAUUAUUGGGCGUAAAGAGCUCGUAGGCGGUCUGUCGCGUCGGCUGUGAAAACCCGGAGCUCAACUCCGGGCCUGCAGUGGGUACGGGGCAGACUAGAGUGCGGUAGGGGAGACUGGAAUUCCUGGUGUAGCGGUGAAAUGCGCAGAUAUCAGGAGGAACACCGGUGGGCGAAGGCGGGUCUCUGGGCCGGUACCGA
rnacentral:rRNA from 1 species